GGUACUGGCCGAAGCCACCAGUUCCUUCCCAGAUCCACACGCAACACACACCAACGGUUGCCGAAGAAGCAUCCCCUCCACUCCACUGAACUAGGACUUGUGCCAACGAUCGGUUGUCGGCGCGGCGAAGGCGCUCCUGCAGUAUCUUAACAGGGAACUGAAGAUGAGCAUCAACAGAAGGAAGCGACUUAAGUACCUCAUGUUGUGGAUGCACACAGCGCUUCAACUGUGAAACAUGGAAUACAGGAUGAAUACGACUAGCUGCUGGCAACUGUAAGCGAUAAGCCACUUCGCCAAUCUUCUCCAGAAUCAGAAACGGACCAAAAUGCUUGAAAGCAAGUUUAUGAUUUGCCCUGUGCACCACUGAUGAUUGUACAUACGGCUGGAGUUUAAGGAAUACUCGAUCUCCCACAGCAAAUGUUCUUUCAGUGCGUUUCUUGUCAGCCUGAUGUUUCAUCCUUUGCUGAACACGCAACAAAUGCUGGCGCACUGACUGCUGAACCACUGCUCGAGCAUCCAACCACUGCUGCAAAUCAACAGGAUCAAUUGAGUUUGAAGCCGAAAUCCCAAAAUGCCGAGGACCAUGACCAUAAAGAACCUCAAAUGGAGAUUUGUUAAGUGCUGAAUGCCAGUUGGUAUUGUACCAAAACUCACAAAGAUGAUAUGAUGUGCUCAUAUUAAGCACAGCUCCUGUCCUCUUCACUAGAGCUUGCCAGAAUUUGCUGGUGAAAACUGGAUCCCUGUCAGAUACUAUAAAGAGAGGCAUGCCAUGAAGCUUAUAAAUAUUGUCCAGAAAAAGUUCAGCAACUUUCUGGGCUGUAUAUGGAUGUUUGACA